rnacentral:rRNA from 1 species
GAUGAACGCUGGCGGCGUGCCUAAUACAUGCAAGUCGAGCGAACAGAUGAGGAGCUUGCUCCUCUGACGUUAGCGGCGGACGGGUGAGUAACACGUGGAUAACCUACCUAUAAGACUGGGAUAACUUCGGGAAACCGGAUCUAAUACCGGAUAAUAUAUUGAACCGCAUGGUUCAAUAGUGAAAGACGGUUUUGCUGUCACUUAUAGAUGGAUCCGCGCCGCAUUAGCUAGUUGGUAAGGUAACGGCUUACCAAGGCAACGAUGCGUAGCCGACCUGAGAGGGUGAUCGGCCACACUGGAACUGAGACAGGGUCCAGACUCCUACGGGAGGCAGCAGUAGGGAAUCUUCCGCAAUGGGCGAAAGCCUGACGGAGCAACGCCGCGGGAGUGAGGAAGGUCUUCGGAUCGUAAAACUCUGUUAUUAGGGAAGAACAAAUGUGUAAGUAACUAUGCACGUUUUGACGGUACCUAAGAAGAAAGCCACGGCUAACUACGU